rnacentral:rRNA from 1 species
AUUGAACGCUGGCGGCAUGCCUUACACAUGCAAGUCGAACGGUAACAGAUCUUCGGAUGCUGACGAGUGGCGAACGGGUGAGUAAUACAUCGGAACGUGCCUAGUAGUGGGGGAUAACUACUCGAAAGAGUGGCUAAUACCGCAUGAGAUCUACGGAUGAAAGCAGGGGGUUGCAAGACCUUGUGCUACGAGAGCGGCCGAUGGCCGAUUAGGUCGUUGGUGGGAUAAAAGCUUACCAAGCCGACGAUCUGUAGCUGGUCUGAGAGGACGAUCAGCCACACUGGGACUGAGACACGGCCCAGACUCCUACGGGAGGCAGCAGUGGGGAAUUUUGGCCAAUGGGCGCAAGCCUGAUCCAGCAAUGCCGCGUGCAGGAUGAAGGCCUUCGGGUUGUAAACUGCUUUUGUACGGAACGAAAAGCCCUGGGUUAAUACCCUGGGGUCAUGACGGUACCGUAAGAAUAAGCACCGGCUAACUACGUGCCAGCCGCCGCCGUAAAAC